UAUGGGAGGGAUCAAGAGGGUGCUAGACUCGGCCUGAAGUAUUUAUUGAAUGUUGUCACACUGCCCAUAGAGGGUGUAAGGCCCGUAAGGCCGGCGUCUAGAUUACCUCGCUGGUUCCUCUCGAGAGUCGGGUUGCUUGAAAGUGCAGCCCUAAGUAGGUGGUAAACUCCAUCUAAGGCUAAAUAUUCCCACGAGACCGAUAGCGAACAAGUACCGCGAGGGAAAGUUGAAAAGAACUUUGAAAAGAGAGUUCAAUAGAGCGUGAAACUACCACGAGGCUAAAGCGAGUGAGCGUACGUAUCCGAACGGUUUGAUUCAGUCCGCCCGAGCACGAUGAGCAGUGGGGGGUCGUAAUACGUCAUUAACGGAUCUCCCGAAAGGAUCCGAGCUUUACGCUCGGCCUCUAGGGUGACCGGCGUAUCCUCCGCUUUGCUCUGUAGGGGGACGCAUUUCCGGCCGAAGUAGGGCGUCGCGGCCGUUUCGGGGGUGUCUAAGACACGGGGGUCUUGGAAUCCGCAUCUUCUCGUCCCGGCGCGCUCUACCGCCUCGCCUUCGCGGAGGGGCGGCAUCACGCCGGGGUCGCGAGUCGAGCGGGGCCGCCUCGUUGAUCUGACGGCCUC
rnacentral:rRNA from 1 species